rnacentral:rRNA from 1 species
AUGGCACUCGAAUCCAAGUCCUCGUCGAGGUGUACCACGGAGACGGCGAAGGGAACGCACGUCUUGGAGAUCGUCGGGUACAGCCUCAAGAAGGGCCUGGGAAUCGGCAAGUUCGUCCAGUCGGCCAUCGUCACCGUCGGCGGCUACGACUGGACCAUCCGCUUCUACCCUGACGGAGCCAACAUAUCAUACGCCGAUUGCGUUUGCGUGUCGGUUUCGCGCGACCUCACGGGCAAGAGCAAGGGGGUGGCGCGGGCAUCCUGUGAUCUGCGACUGGUUAACAAGGAUACUGGGUUGCCAAAGAGUAUUUGGUAUCCGUCUCAACCAACCCCGUCAGUGUUCGACUACAAUAAUCGUGUUUUCCCAGAGUGUGGAGGGUCUAUUGAAAGGAGUGAGCUGGAGCUGGAAGCAUCAGGGUACAUCAAGGAUGAUAGCUUGACAAUUGAAUGUGUACUCACAGUCAUCAAACAAUCGCAGGUGACAAAAACAACCGGGAGCUCUGAAAUCAAGGUGUCAUCGUCGAACUUAUCAGAUCAUUUCGGCAAGCUGUUGUUAGAGGGGAAGGGGUCCGACGUGACAUUCAGUGUUGGCGGAGAGACUUUUGCCGCACACAAGAUCAUACUUGCGGCGCGAUCACCUGUCUUUGAGGCGGAGAUGUAUGGAGGGAUGAAGGAAGGAAAGGCAGAGUCCAUUACAGUUGAAGACAUGCAGCCUGCUGCUUUCAAGGCCUUACUGCAUUUUGUAUAUACCGACUCAUUGCCUGAUGUGGGUGAUUUUGGUGGUGAUGAUUACGUUGAGAUGAUCCGGCAUUUACUUGUGGCUGCCGAUAGAUAUGCCAUGGAUAGGCUGAAGUUGAUAUGUCAAAACAUCCUCGGAAAAAACCUUGCCAUGGAGACUCUGGCAACUACAUUGGCUUUAGCUGAUCACCAUAACUGUGACAGGCUUAAGGAAGCGUGCAUUGAGUUUAUUGCCUCUAAGGAUGAGAUGGAUGCUUUGAUGGCAACACAAGGUUACAGUAAUCUCAAAAGAACUUGCCCUUCCGUCUUAAUAGACGUGUUCGAGAAGGCAAGUAGGUUGCGCAGAGCAUAG